GGCCGCGCAAUUACCCACUCCCGGCACGGGGAGGUAGUGACGAAAAAUAACGAUACGGGACUCAUCCGAGGCCCCGUAAUCGGAAUGAGUAUACUCUAAAUCCUUAUACGAGUAUCAAUUGGAGGGCAAGUCUGGUGCCAGCAGCCGCGGUAAUUCCAGCUCCAAUAGCGUAUAUUAAAGUUGUUGCGGUUAAAAAGCUCGUAGUUGGAUCUGUGUCCCGCACCGUCGGUUCACCGCCUGUCGGUGUUCAACUGGUGUGUAUGCGGGACGUCCUGCCGGUGGCGGUCCGGUUCCCCGUGGGUACGUAGGGGCGUCCUUGCGCACGCUUGCGUCGUCCCCGAAGGCCUGCGCGGUGUAUCCGGCCGCCUUUUCAAUCCCGUCGCGGUGCUCUUCACUGAGUGUCGAGGCGGGCCGGCACGUUUACUUUGAACAAAUUAGAGUGCUUUAAGCAGGCCCUGUCCCGCCUGUAUGUUGUGUGCAUGGAAUAAUGGAAUAGGACCUCGGUUCUAUUUUGUUGGUUUUCGGAAUCUGAGGUAAUGAUCAAUGGGGACAGGCGGGGGCAUUCGUAUUGCGACGUUAGAGGUGAAAUUCUUGGAUCGUCGCAAGACGGACCGAAGCGAAAGCAUUUGCCAAGUAUGUUCUCGUCGAUCAAGAACGAAAGUUAGAGGUUCGAAGGCGAUCAGAUACCGCCCUAGUUCUAACCAUAAACUAUGCCUGCCAGCGAUCCGCCGAAGUUCCUCCGAUGACUCGGCGGGCAGCUUCCGGGAAACCAGAGCUUUUGGGUUCCGGGGGAAGUAUGGUUGCAAAGCUGAAACUUAAAGGAAUUGACGGAAGGGCACCACCAGGAGUGGAGCCUGCGGCUUAAUUUGACUCAACACGGGAAAACUCACCAGGCCCGGACACCGGAAGGAUUGACAGAUUGAGAGCUCUUUCUUGAUUCGGUGGGUGGUGGUGCAUGGCCGUUCUUAGUUGGUGGAGCGAUUUGUCUGGUUAAUUCCGAUAACGAACGAGACUCUAGCCUACUAACUAGGCGUACCCGGUAUCCACAAUCGUGCUACCGGCGGUCAAAUUUCUUCUUAGAGGGACAGGCGGCUUCUAGCCGCAAGAGACUGAGCAAUAACAGGUCUGUGAUGCCCUUAGAUGUCCUGGGCCGCACGCGCGCUACACUGAAGGAAUCAGCGUGUCUUCCCUGUCCGAAAGGACCGGGUAACCCGCUGAACCUCCUUUGUGCUAGGGAUUGGGGCUUGCAAUUGUUCCCCAUGAACGAGGAAUUCCCAGUAAGCGCGAGUCAUAAGCUCGCGUUGAUUACGUCCCUGCCCUUUGUACACACCGCCCGUCGCACA
rnacentral:rRNA from 2 species